CCUACGGGUGGCUGCAGUGGGGGAUAUUGCACAAUGGAGGGGACCCUGAUGCAGCGACGCAGCGUGAGUGAAGGAGUGCUUCGGCGUGUAAAGCCCUAUCUGCAGGGGAGAAACAAGACGGUACCUGACUAAGAAGCCCCGACUAACUACAUACCAGCAGCCGCGGUAAUACGUAGGGGGCGAGCGUUAUCCGGAUUCACGGGGUGUAAAGGGAGCGUAGACGGCCAUGUAAGCCAGUGGUGAAAGCCCGGGGCUCAACCCCGGGACUGCCGUUGGACCUGCAAGGCUGGAGUGCGGGAGGGGUAGGCGGAAUUCGUGGUGUAGCGGUGAAAUGCGUAGAUAUCAGGAGGAACACCGGUGGCGAAGGCGGCUCGCUGGACCGCGACUGACGUUGAGGCUCGAAAGCGUGGGGAGCGAACAGGAUUAGAUACCCCUGUAGUC
rnacentral:rRNA from 1 species